AGAGGACCCUGGCCUCAGAGACUCAUGGGCGUAACCCACAUCCAGUCAGUCCUGAACAUCAAGUGAGGUCAGCAAGCAUGAAUGGCCAGCUCAUGAUUUGCUCAUUCCUGAUUCAGGUACUAGAGAGAUAGAAGGAUCCAGAGGAAAACAUAAGUCCUGGCUGUCUUCCUCAAGAACUUCAGAGAUGUAGCCAACACAGUGGAAAUAUGCAAAAAGUAUUAAGAGUGGACAGAGGAUAAAGACCCAGAUCCUUGGCUGGCACUGAUGUGCCCUUCUUGAGCACAACUGAGAAGUCAUAGUAGGAGGGGCUCUCGAUGCCACCUGCCACAUUUAACAGGGACGUAGGGUGGCUGAUGAGUUCCACAGCUCAUCCUUAAUUAGGAAUGCCGCUAAAAACGCCACCAGAGAGCCCUGCCCAGAGCUGCGAAGCCGUCUGUUUGCUAAUGCCGAGUUGCUUGGAUUGAUUGAUACUUGUUUUGCGAUUCCUUCCGUCAGCUUUCUUGGGUCCAGCCAUCUGUUUUCUACCCAACAAGAGGCACGUUGGCUCCGGUCCUUGCCUGAUUUGCAGCAGUGAUGACAUAAUGGUGGGUUGGGGGCUUAAACUUGGGGCUUGGCAGUGAUUUGUUUUUGGCACAGAAUCUUCGCUGAGAGAAUGAUGUGGCCAUCUUGGGCUGGAAAGACUUCUUGGGCUUUGGGUUUUAUUGUCUGAGACUCAGGAAAAGUUAGCAGAGGUAAUCUGGAGCACCUGAUGAUUUUCCUUGACCUGCUGUCAGGAAGCUCACUGCCUUCUUUAAGUCCACUCAACAGCUCUUUCCACUCCAUACCUCAUCUUCCAGGACAUUGUAAUGUCUGCCCACUGGAACAAAGUCACACCUAACUUACACCUGUAUUUGUUGUUGUUGUUUUUUUUUCUUUGUUUUGUUUUUUUGAGACAGUGUCUCACUCUGUUGCCCAGGGUGGAGUGCAGUGGCACCAUCUCGGCUCACUGUGACCUCCACCUCCCAGGUUCAAGCAAUUCUUCUGCCUCAGCCUCCUGAGUAGCUGGGACUGCAGGCUCCUGCCACCAUGCCCUGCAAAUUUUUUGUAUUUUUAGUAGAGACUGGGUUUUGCCAUGUUGGCCAGGGUGGUCUCAAACUCCUGACCUCAGGAUAUCCACCCACCUUGGCCUCCCAAAGUGCUAGGAUUACAGGAGUGAGCCACCACACCUGGUCACAUCUAUUUUUUUUUUUUUUAAUAGACGUUGUUUUACUCUCUCACCCAGGCUGGAGUGGGGCCUCCAACUGCUGGGCUCAGGAGAUCCUCUCAUCUGAGCCUCCCAAGUAGCUGAGACUACAGGUGUGAGCCACCACACCUGGCUAAUUUUUUGUAGAGAUGCAGUCUCACUGUGUCACCCAAGCUAGUCUUGAACUCCUGGCAUCCAGUGAUCCUCCUGCCUUGGCCUCCUGAACUGCUGGGAUUACAGGUAUGAGCCACUGCACCUGGACUCACCACUGCUGCUUUUGAGGCCAAGGCCUUCCUUUUCUGGCAAUAAUCUUAUUAAAAAGUAUAUUGGGAGAGAAAACAAGAAAGUAAGGCAUAACCUCUGCAGUCUGAGAGCUUAUAGUCUUGGUUGGAAACACACACAAACAUACACACACACUUAAAGAUCUGAGGAAAAUGAAGGAGGACUUAGAGCAAAAUCAAGAUUUAAAUUAUGUUAGUAGUAGUCCUAAGAAAUGAAGAGAUCAAUAGAGUUUAAAAUGGAGAAAAAGUCUUUAAAAGGGAGGCAACUCAUGAUUAGACCUUUAAGGCCUGGAUAAUAUUUGGAUAAGUGAAGCAACAAGGAAUGGGUGGAGAAGAAAUGUAUUUAACACAUAAAUACAGUACAUGUAUGCUAUGCAUAUGGGCUAAACUUUGCUUUUGAAUAACAGCCUGGUUGUAAAAAGAAAGGCCAGAAAAAUGCUAAAUUGCUAAACUGUGUCUGCUAAAUUACUUCCCCAGCAUCAGUCUGAGGUUGUUGAUGGAAUCAGCAGAGGAGGAGGACUGUGAGCCCCAGAGGGAAAGUCCAGGAAGAGCUCAUCCAUGCUGGGCAGGGCUGGCUGGGUGAGGUGGAGUAGGAGUGGGUGGCAUACAGCCACAGAGCGUGGCUGUGUUGGGGUUCUCUGGAGGGACAGAACUAAUAGCAUACACACACACACACACACACACACACACAUAUACACACACACACAUAUACAUGUAUGUAUGUGUUUAUAAGUUUAUUAAGGAGUAUUAAGUCACAUGAUCACAAGGUUCCCCAACAAGCUGUCUGUCUGCAAAUUGAGGUGCAAGGAAGGCAAUCUGAGUCCCAAAGCGGAAGAACUUGGAGUCAGAUGUUCAAGGGCAGGAAGUAUCCAGCACGGGAGAAAGAUGUAGGCUGGGAGGCUAAACCAGUCUAGGCUUUUUGCAUCCUACCGCAUAUUUUUAUUCAGGCUGAGCUGGCAGAGUUGUCCCCACCCAGAUUAAAGGUGGGUAUGCCUUUCCCGAUCCACUGAUGCAAAUGUUAAUCUCCUUUGGCAACACCCUCACAGACACCCCCAGGGACAAUACUUUGCAUCCUUUCAUCCAGUCAAGUUGACACUCAGUAUUAACCAUCACAGGGGCUGGGUAGGGGAGGUUCAGUGUUGUUCUCACCAGCAUGCCAAGUUCUGGCUCCACUCAGUGGGCUCUGUGCACUGAGCAGGCAGAGAGGAGAGUCCAACCCAUCAAAUACCUGGGAUGUUUGGCAAUAGCAUAAUUCCAGUCAUUGUUGUGGUUUGCAGGAAGCAACACACAACUGCAAAGCCCACAAGAAUUGAGAGCACCAGGGGGAAGCCAGCAAGUUGAGGAUCUGGGCACACAACUAGUUGUGGUGGGAAUUAAAUUCCUGACUAGGGUAAGAGAGGCAGAAGUUCAGCCACACACAUUGGAAGAGUAGAGAAUCAUGUGCAUUGAGGUAUCUGUGGAUUUGAGAAGCCAAGGUUCUCCCCUGGCACUUGGCAUAUAGGCUCAUAGGUGGUAAGACAGAUUCCAGAGCACUGGGAUAGGGCUGAGGCCUCAGGGAUGCAUUCUCAGUUCAGUAAGGGACUGUUGAUUUGAAUUACAAGGGCUUCCUAUUCCUGGCAGGCCUGAGCAGAAUAGGGGCUGCAGACAGAGGGCAUCGGCGGUCCUACUGAACUGUGGGGAGCUGGGACAGGUAAAGGUAAGGAGAAAGAGCAGUAUCUGAACAACAUUUCUAAAAGGUUUUCCAGGAAAACAAACCAAAAAAAAAAAAAAAACAAAAAAAACACCAAGGCCAAGGAAAACACCCAGUAAGGGGAGUUGAGAGCUUGUGACUCUUUGCUAGAGUGAAGUUCAGGCAGUACUGGCAGGAAUGAUCACUCAGAAUUUAACUGUUUAGAAAAGCUGACAGCAGUAAAAAAAAGAAUUGCUAAGUAAGGCACCAAGUUUGGGGUUUACAAGUCAAGAAAAAAAAAACAGUACAUUUGUGUUUUUACUUCAUUAUCUUUACUGAAGAUUUAGCAUUUCACUUUUGGUUGCAAAGUGUGUAAACUACACUUUCUUUUAACAUAGUAGUCAUUAAUUAGUAGUUAACAAAUUAACUACAAAUUUGUUUUAAAAAUUAAAAGAUAUAUAUCUAUGUUCAUAUACACAUAUGUACCUAUAUGCAUAAAUACAUACAUUGAUUGACAGAUGUAGUAUAAACAUACUGCUUGUGUAUUUAAAUCUGCAACCGAAGUAUUUCCAAGUCCUCUAGUCUUGGGUCAUCCUUCCCUUUUUUAUGUAAAUAAACUGAUAGUAGGC
rnacentral:lncRNA from 10 species